CCUACGGGAGGCAGCAGUGGGGGAUAUUGCACAAUGGGGGAAACCCUGAUGCAGCGACGCCGCGUGGGCGAAGAAGUAUUUCGGUAUGGAAAGCUGUAUCAGCAGGGAAGAAGAAAUGACGGUAUCUGAGUAAGAAGCACCGGCUAAAUACGUGCCAGCAGCCGCGGUAAUACGUAUGGUGCAAGCGUUAUACGGAUUUACUGGGGGGAAAGGGAGCGAAGGCGGGAAGGCAAGCCUGAUGUGAAAGCCCGCGGCCCAACCGUGAGACUGCAUUGGGAACUACCAGGCUGGAGUGCCGGAGAGGUAGGCGGAAUUCGUAGUGUAGCGGUGAAAUGCGUAGAUAUUACGAGGAACACCAGUGGCGAAGGCGGCCUACUGGACGGUGACUGACGCUGAGGCUCGAAAGCGUGGGGAGCAAACAGGAUUAGAUACCCCAGUAGUC
rnacentral:rRNA from 1 species